rnacentral:tRNA from 1 species
GGGGUUUUGGUUCAGUGGUAGAGUGCUUGCCUGGCAUGCAUGAGGCACUGGGUUUGAUCCCUAGCCCCA